rnacentral:tRNA from 1 species
GUGGGCAAGGUGGCCGCAGAGCGGUUGCCACUCCUGAAAAGCGGAAGGUCGGCGGUUCGACCCCGCCGCUGCCCACA